rnacentral:tRNA from 1 species
CUGAUAGGGCUGCUAAGCAGGCCACUGUGAUAUAGUGGUUGUGGGGGUUAGUCCCUUCGUCGGU